UUCUUUUUCCAUUUUUGGCCAAUGCAGAAAUUCCUGGGUAGGAAUUGAACCUGCACCAUAGCAGCAACCUGAGCCACUGCAAUGAUGCCAGAUCCUUAACCCACUGCACCACAAGACAACUCCUAGAUUGCUUUUAAAAGCCUUAUACCCUGUUGAAGACUUCUGUUGAACGAUGAACACCAGCUGAAAUGAUCUUCUCUGGAAACUAUGGAGGAAUGACUACUUGAACUCAGACUCUGUAAAUGUUUUAUUGUCUCAGACUGUGCUCAUCAGAGUCCCAGCCAAGUCAAUUUCAACUUUUUUUGGAGCCAGAUUUGUUCUUGUGCUUUUAGGAAAAUGGCCAUAUUUUCAUUUCCCUUCUUGAUAUACUUAUAUUUUCUUUUUAUUGCAGUGCCUGUAUGCUUUGACACUGGAACUCUAACAAGCCUUUCUUAUUGGUUGCUCAGUUAGUAUAUUACUAGUUUGAGUUAUUGAUGUGGACAAGUCUUAUAGUUAUAAGAGCUUUGUGCAAACCCAGGGAACAAUAGAAUUGCAAAAGAGAAAUUCAUGUCACGAGAUCCUAAGAAUAAAACAGAAGAAAAGAGGCUAUCAUAUUUUGGCAGAAUAACUCACAUUUAACUGAUUAAACUUGAUUUCAUUCUCCUGGUCACUUGCUUAGGCAAGUAUAUUUGUUUCUGGGAGUGUGAAAACAUCCAAGGUGUUCUCAUGGCUUGGCUUUUUAAAUAUUUAUCUUACAAAGGUAUAACUACAGCAGACUGUCGGGGUGUCAUCUAGUCAGGACUACAUGAAAAAAAAUGCUAAGUUGGUUGACCUGAGAGUCUGAGGUCAAAUAUCUACAGGCUCUACUGAGCCCUCUGUAGUCUUCUUCUCUCUGUAUGCCUCCACUUUGUGCUUGGUCUCUAGGACUAAUCUUGACUUUGGCUGGAGAGAUUUAAGGAGCUCCAACAGAAUUCUUGGGGCCUCUUCACCAAAUGACACCUCUUUUUAUCUGGUUCUGACCUUGUUUCCAGACCUUAGAAGUGGACUGCUGCCUGAUUCCAAGACUAUAAAGCCAUAGGAAACAAGACAGUAUGUAUUAAUGCAAAGACAGACAAAUCAGUAGAAUGAAAAAAAAAGUCUAGAAAUAGACUUACACAAUUAAUUUUUGACAAAUGUGCCAAACCAAUUAAUUCAACGGAGAAAGGAUAAUCUUUAUAACAAAUGAUGUGGGAACAAUUGGACAGUCAUGUGCAACAAAUUUAAUCCUGACCCUUCCUUGAAAUGAUAUACAAGAAAAAAACUCAAACUGAACUGUAGAUCAAAAUGUAAGCAUUAUGUUUAACCAUAACAAACAAAACAAAAAUUUUAAAAGAGAACAUAGGAAAAAAUCUUAGUGACUUCAGAAUUGCCAUGGCUUAUUAAAUUAAAUAAGACCCCAAAAGCUCAAAUGGAAACAAAAUUGAUAAAUUUGACUUUAUUAAAUCUAAAACCUUUUGCUUCUCAAAAGACAUUGUUAAGGAAAAAUAUGCAGGCUACAGACUGGAAAUAGAUAUUUGCAAAUUAUAGAUCUGACAAGGACUUGAAUCUGGAAUAUAUAAAGAAUUCUUUUAACUCAGUAAUAAAAAGACCAACAACCUAUUAAAAAAUGGGCAAAACAUUUGAACAGGCAUUUUACUGAAGAAGAUAGGUAACUGUCAGAAAGUUACAUGAGAAAGUGCUCAAAAUCAUUAGUCAUUGGGGAAAUGCUAGUUAAAACCACAAUGAGACAUCACUACAGACCUAUCAGAGUAGCUAAAAUCAGAAGGAUUAAAACAAUUGAAUAUAUGAAGUGUAAGUAAGUAUGUGGGACAAAUGCAACACUCACCCCUCGGAGGAAUAAUGUACAAUUCUGUAACCAAUUUAAAAAACAAUUUAACAGUUUCAUAAAAAGUUGAUUAUGUAGUUA